CCGUAUUGCCCAAUCAGCGUUGAGCUUGACCCGACGUCACUGGCAGAGGGUAGUGAGCUUGGACAGAAGCAUACGGCCGACAUCUUUCUUUAUUCUGUGUGGAAAUAGUAACAUAGUUACGCCAUUAAAUGCUUUUAUGGAAACAUUUCUAGCGAGAAAUGUGCAUUUUACUUUCAUAAUGUUCGCUCGGUGAAUGUGAAGGAUGUUUGGUUUGAUAGUUAUGACGAAGAGGGAACGCUCCGUUCACUUGCAUGGACAGAGUCUCUGGUUACUAAGCAACCUCAACGUCUUGGCGGACUAUUUCUCUGCUGAUCAACACUACAGACUACACGAACAGAAAUGGAGGUGGAUCAAAAUCUCAUCGUCGCCGUGUGCGGCCGUCCUGUCCUGUAUGACACCACGAUGGUGUCGUACAGGAACAAAACAGAGAGGGCGUGGGUCGACGUGGCAGAGGAUAUUGGCGUUCCUGACCAACCCAGCAGUGAGUCAGACGCAGAGGACGCUGAUGCUGCUCCUGCUCCUGCUCCUGCUCCUGCCCCUGUCCCUGCCGCUGGCCCUUCCCGUGUACCUGUCCCUGCUGCCCCUGCCCCAAGACCACAGGGCGCGACGAAGAGGAAGAGAGCAGCCAGGGUACCGGAGGGGAAUACUGUCCAGACAGCCAUCCUCCAGGCCCUGCAGAGGCAUAAUUCUGUGCCUACCCCUACCCCGCUUUCUGGGAAUGAGCACUUUGUCAUGGGCCUAGUUCCUUCCCUGGAUAGAUUGCCACCUGAAGUACUGGAGUACGUUAAAUUCCAAAUCCAUAAAGUCAUAUUUGACCAUUCUAAUUUAACCGUUCAAUUGGAACCUAUUUAAGCUUAUUAGCUAGUGGUGGUGACAAUCUCUCCAGGGAAAGAACUAGGCUGAUGUCACUGUUAACUGUUCAUUUGUUAUUGUUCUGUUCUGUUUAUAUUAUAUUGUUCUAUGUUAUUUUUAUUAUUUUUAUUUUUAUUUUUAAAAUAAAAU